rnacentral:rRNA from 1 species
CAACUUUAAGCAAUGGAUCUCUUGGCUCUCGCAUCGAUGAAGAACG